rnacentral:rRNA from 1 species
GACGAACGCUGGCGGCGUGCUUAACACAUGCAAGUCGAACGGUGAAGCGCCUUCCUUUUUGGUGGGUGUGGAUGUGUGGCGAACGGGUGAGUAACACGUGAGUAACCUGCCCCCUUCUUCUGGAUAACCGCAUGAAAGUGUGGCUAAUACGGGAUAUUCUGGGUCUGUCGCAUGAUGGGUCUGGGAAAGAUAUUGUUUCGGUGGGGGAUGGGCUCGCGGCCUAUCAGCUUGUUGGUGGGGUGAUGGCCUACCAAGGCGGUGACGGGUAGCCGGCCUGAGAGGGUGGACGGUCACACUGGGACUGAGACACGGCCCAGACUCCUACGGGAGGCAGCAGUGGGGAAUAUUGCACAAUGGGCGCAAGCCUGAUGCAGCGACGCCGCGUGAGGGAUGGAGGCCUUCGGGUUGUGAACCUCUUUCGCCAGUGAAGCAGGCCUGCCUCGUUUGUGGGUGGGUUGACGGUAGCUGGAUAAGAAGCGCCGGCUAACUACGUG